CCCCGUGUGGCUCAGUUGGUAGAGCAUGGUGUUUGCAAUGCCAGGGUUGUGGGUUCGAUUCCCACGGGGG
rfam:Salmo salar isolate Sally breed double haploid chromosome ssa03, whole genome shotgun sequence.